CAGGCUUAACACAUGCAAGUCGAGGGGCAUCAGGAUGAAAGCUUGCUUUCUUUGCUGGCGACCGGCGCACGGGUGAGUAACACGUAUCCAACCUGCCCUUUACUCGGGGAUAGCCUUUCGAAAGAAAGAUUAAUACCCGAUAGCAUAAUGAUUCCGCAUGGUUUCAUUAUUAAAGGAUUCCGGUAAAGGAUGGGGAUGCGUUCCAUUAGGUUGUUGGUGAGGUAACGGCCCACCAAGCCUUCGAUGGAUAGGGGUUCUGAGAGGAAGGUCCCCCACAUUGGAACUGAGACACGGUCCAAACUCCUACGGGAGGCAGCAGUGAGGAAUAUUGGUCAAUGGGCGCUAGCCUGAACCAGCCAAGUAGCGUGAAGGAUGAAGGCUCUAUGGGUCGUAAACUUCUUUUAUAUAAGAAUAAAAUGCAGUAUGUAUACUGUUUUGUAUGUAUUAUAUGAAUAAGGAUCGGCUAACUCCGUGCCAGCAGCCGCGGUAAUACGGAGGAUCCGAGCGUUAUCCGGAUUUAUUGGGUUUAAAGGGAGCGUAGGUGGACUGGUAAGUCAGUUGUGAAAGUUUGCGGCUCAACCGUAAAAUUGCAGUUGAUACUGUCAGUCUUGAGUACAGUAGAGGUGGGCGGAAUUCGUGGUGUAGCGGUGAAAUGCUUAGAUAUCACGAAGAACUCCGAUUGCGAAGGCAGCUCACUGGACUGCAACUGACACUGAUGCUCGAAAGUGUGGGUAUCAAACAGGAUUAGAUACCCUGGUAGUCCACACAGUAAACGAUGAAUACUCGCUGUUUGCGAUAUACAGUAAGCGGCCAAGCGAAAGCAUUAAGUAUUCCACCUGGGGAGUACGCCGGCAACGGUGAAACUCAAAGGAAUUGACGGGGGCCCGCACAAGCGGAGGAACAUGUGGUUUAAUUCGAUGAUACGCGAGGAACCUUACCCGGGCUUAAAUUGCAGUGGAAUGAUGUGGAAACAUGUCAGUGAGCAAUCACCGCUGUGAAGGUGCUGCAUGGUUGUCGUCAGCUCGUGCCGUGAGGUGUCGGCUUAAGUGCCAUAACGAGCGCAACCCUUAUCUUUAGUUACUAACAGGUUAUGCUGAGGACUCUAGAGAGACUGCCGUCGUAAGAUGUGAGGAAGGUGGGGAUGACGUCAAAUCAGCACGGCCCUUACGUCCGGGGCUACACACGUGUUACAAUGGGGGGUACAGAAGGCAGCUAGCGGGUGACCGUAUGCUAAUCCCAAAAUCCUCUCUCAGUUCGGAUCGAAGUCUGCAACCCGACUUCGUGAAGCUGGAUUCGCUAGUAAUCGCGCAUCAGCCACGGCGCGGUGAAUACGUUCCCGGGCCUUGUACACACCGCCCGUCAAGCCAUGGGAGCCGGGGGUACCUGAAGUACGUAACCGCAAGGAUCGUCCUAGGGUAAAACUGGUGACUGGG
rnacentral:rRNA from 1 species